UACAUGGGGUGCAGACGUUGCUCGGAAUUAUUGGGCGUAAAGCGCACGUAGGCGGUUUGUUAAGUCGGAUGUGAAAUCCCUCGGCUCAACUGAGGAAGUGCAUCCGAAACUGGCAAGCUUGAGUACGAAAGAGGGUCGCGGAAUUCCCGGUGUAGAGGUGAAAUUCGUAGAUAUCGGGAGGAACACCGGUGGCGAAGGCGGCGACCUGGGUCGAUACUGACGCUGAGGUGCGAAAGCGUGGGGAGCGAACAGG
rnacentral:rRNA from 1 species